UACGGAAGGCAGCAGUGGGGAAUAUUGCACAAUGGGCGCAAGCCUGAUGCAGCCAUGCCGCGUGUAUGAAGAAGGCCUUCGGGUUGUAAAGUACUUUCAGUCGUGAGGAAGGUGUUAAGGUUAAUAACCUUAGCAAUUGACGUUAGCGACAGAAGAAGCACCGGCUAACUCCGUGCCAGCAGCCGCGGUAAUACGGAGGGUGCGAGCGUUAAUCGGAAUUACUGGGCGUAAAGGGCACGCAGGCGGUUAAUUAAGUUGGAUGUGAAAUCCCCGGGCUUAACCUGGGAAUGGCAUUCAAGACUGGUUAGCUAGAGUCUUGUAGAGGGGGUUAGAAUUCCAUGUGUAGCGGUGAAAUGCGUAGAGAUGUGGAGGAAUACCGGUGGCGAAGGCGGCCCCUGGACAAAGACUGACGCUCAUGUGCGAAAGCUGGGGAGCAAAC
rnacentral:rRNA from 1 species